rnacentral:rRNA from 1 species
GACGAACGCUGGCGGCGUGCUUAACACAUGCAAGUCGAACGGAAAGGCCCUGCUUUUGUGGGGUGCUCGAGUGGCGAACGGGUGAGUAACACGUGAGUAACCUGCCCUUGACUUUGGGAUAACUUCAGGAAACUGGGGCUAAUACCGGAUAGGAGCUCCUGCUGCAUGGUGGGGGUUGGAAAGUUUCGGCGGUUGGGGAUGGACUCGCGGCUUAUCAGCUUGUUGGUGGGGUAGUGGCUUACCAAGGCUUUGACGGGUAGCCGGCCUGAGAGGGUGACCGGCGAAAUGGGGACUGGGAGAAGGAAGGGAGGAGGAAGGGAGGAAGAAGGGGGGAAGAGGGAAGAAGGGGUGGAAGCAGGAGGCAGCAAGGACGGGUGAGGGAUGAGGGAGUUAGGGAUGGAAAAAGGGGUCGCCGGGGAAGAAGAGGGAGGGACGGGAAUGGGUAAAGAAGGACCGGCGAACUACGUG